GUAUCUGUAAUAUAGAUGAUUUAUAUAACAAUGGCAAUUUUGUCUCAUUUGCACGGUUACGAGCUGCUUACAAUAUUAAUGCUUCAAGUUUUCAAGUUCAGAUAUCUACAAAUUCGAGACGGUGUCAGAAAUCGUUUGCCUGACUUUGACAUCCUGGCCGAGCAUGAGCCCCUGGAGGCGAUAAACAAAUAUGACCCUGCUUCUCGUGAGGUGGUUUCUCUUUCCUAUCAGAUCCUACAUAACAGAGCUCCGCCGAACACAGCAGGACUUAAACAGGUGUUGGCGGACGAGCUGAAUAUAGAAGGACUGGGUCUGGGAUGAGUGUAUGUGACUGUCCGACAUAGUUUCAUACAGUUUUAAAUCUUACACUCACUUUAUUAUUGCAGUGGAAAGUGACACAGCUUUUUAGUGAUGUUUCACCUGUUUCUAAAUUGAUGUAAGUCUAUGAUCAGUAAUUAAACACAAUGAAAGAGCUUCUUUCAUCGUUUUUCAGUAGCUUUUGGGAAGCGUAGGGAACCUGAUCCACUCAUAGCUGUUCUGCUCAUCUCUUGCCAAGAAUCAUAGCAAACAGCAGUACUUGCCUUCCGCCCUCCAAGAAGUUGCAGACGUUGUCGUCUCUUUUAGAUACCAAAUGGAAAGUCUCCCGAAUGAUCUGCUGCUGCAUGUCCUCCGC